rnacentral:snoRNA from 1 species
GCUCCACGAUAAACACAAAAUAACAAGCAUGUGACUGAACUUACACAUGAUGCCAUCUUACUACCGAGAAGU